rnacentral:lncRNA from 1 species
CUCGACAACAGAUGAUAAAAUAAUCUCUAAGUUAUGGUUUUACUACUUCUAGCUUAACUGGUGAAGAGAGUAGAUCAGGUGGAAGUACCAAAUAGGUCAGAUGUGAUGGCAGCGACAAGAAGCCCGAUCCGAUCCUCUGCGGAGAAGUCAUUGUCAUCUGUGACAGAGUAAAGGUACCAAACCAUGUCUCUUUUCCCGAGAAGCACAGCCAUAUAGAGAGGCGUUGCUCCUUUACUGCCUCUAACAAGUGGCAACUUCCUGUUCUUGUUCACUAACACUUUUGCUAUCUCAGUCAGACCCGAGACUGCAGCGAAACACAGGGCUGUAUUCCCGACCUUGUUCUGGAGAGCUAGAUCAUCAGGCGACAUCUUCUUAACCAGCUUUCGAACAAACACCGUAUGCCUUGCUCCCGCAGCAAUGUGAAGUGCAGUUUCCAGGCCCCUUGUGAUGUAAGCUCGGAUUGCGGUAGGGUGCCAUUGCAGGUAUGACUUAGCUGUUCGCCAAUCUCCUUUAAGUGCAGCGAGAUAGAGCGGAACAUGUCUAGGAUGGCCUUUGAAUCUUUUGUCCCCUGGCCCAGCCAAGAGUUCAACUUGUCACACAUUCUCAUAUUAGCCAUAUCAACAUUCUUCAAACACAUUAGAAACAAAAAACUUAAAUUAGUCGUGUCAUGAACCGUGCAUCCCAAUAACUUGAGUUGUUAGGAGAAGGUUCAAAUUGACCUUUUUAUAUCAUUCAUUAACGAGCUGAGCCAUGAUCUUACCUAACUUGGCACCUUCCACCAAGGGGGAACAGCUCAUGUUGGAUGGAGCAGUGUCGAGAGCCGAGUUCUCAUUAGAUGCCUGCAAUGUGAGUACAGGGGCAAAGGUGGCCACCUUAUAUCCUUCCGAGUUGCGAGCAGGGGAAGCACGAGGAAACUGGUUCUGAAUGUCAAAGCUCCGUCUUACACCACCGGAGAAAGGGGAACCA